GUAAGGACUGGUUUCAAGUAUUUCUUCAAGUUUUCCUCAUCUUCAAUCCACCAAAGCUUAAGGAAAAAGUAUUGUUCUUGGAGAAUAAAGAAGGGUAGGGGCUGGUUUUCUUUGAUAUAUAGGCUUAGGUACUCAGGACAACAAGCAUUUUCAGUAGACUAGAGACUUCCAAUUUAGUAGUUGGUAAGCUCCACCUCUACCUAGAGCUAUCAAAUAUUUGGAGCCUAUAUUUUGCUACAUAUGUACAUAUAUCAGAAUGGGUAUGUCGGGGCCCUGUCCCAACUAGUUAUUAGAUUCUCAGAGGCAUACUCUUUAGAGGCUUCGUAGACUUAGUCCUGUUUCCGUUGUAAAGUAGCCCAACGGGCCCUUUUGUUAUUUAUGUUUUAGUAUGUGUCUUCAUAUAGGUUCCGAUGCUUAUGAAUCUUCAGCUUUGGCAUGAGAUUAGUAAGAUAUUUAGCAGGUGCUUGUGUAUAUCCUUGAUGUUUGCCCCUUUCUAGCUAGGGGUGUGACAGAUUCGUAGCUACAUGUUAGAAGGGAGGAGAGAGGCGAGCGAGAG